rnacentral:rRNA from 1 species
AUUGAACGCUGGCGGCAGGCCUAACACAUGCAAGUCGAACGAGUGGCGGACGGGUGAGUAAUGUCUGGGAAACUGCCUGAUGGAGGGGGAUAACUACUGGAAACGGUAGCUAAUACCGCAUACCCUCAGAUGUGCCCAGAUGGGAUUAGCUUGUUGGGGGGGUAACGGCCUACCAAGGCGACGAUCCGUAACUGGUCUGAGAGGAUGAUCAGUCACACUGGGACUGAGACACGGUCCAGACUCCUACGGGAGGCAGCAGUGGGGACUAUUGGACAAUGGGCGAAAGCCUGAUCCAGCCAUGCCGCGUGUGUGAAGAAGGUCUUCGGAUCGUAAAACUCUGUUGUUAGAGAAGCGGUAUCUAACCAGAAAGCCACGGCUAACUACGUGCCAGCAGCCGCGGUAAUAC